UCCCUUUUAUGAAACCAAAUGUAUGUCACAAAAUAAUUAGUCAACAUGUGAAAAUACAAUUCUUCACAAAUACCAAAGCCGGACUAUGGUUAGGGUAGGUUUUUCUGAUGAAACACUACUAUGCUAGAACAACCAAUCAUUGUUAGGGCCAUUGUCAGUCAUUCUGGAGCCAGCAGUGGUUGCUUAUCACUCGUGGUUCAUAAGCCUAUAGGAUCCAGAAAAUUUAUUGGAAGCGCUAUUCACCCGAAGUCACCUAUCAUUGCCAGCUCAAACCACCAUCCAUCAGUGAAAUACGACUGCCGGGUCAUGCGACAAACAUGUAGUGGUAUGUGUCAUAUUACUGUUAGCUAAGGAUAUGACCCCCAACAUUGAUAUAUUACUGAUAGGUCAUGCCACGAGCUGGAAGUGAUAUUUUCAUAUUACUAUCGGGUUUUAAGAUGACCAGAUAAUGUUCUUUAACCGCUACAUCCACCUAACCUUCAUAUUUAUUGAUUCACCAUUGUUGGAUCCUACUAUCACCAUUGCUUCUGGUUAGAAAAUAAUUCUCCAAAUGCCCUGCCUGUGACGACCUCUUAUAGUCCAACAAGUCAUUGGUUCACUACUUGUGUAUCUAUGUCUAAUAGUAAAGAUAGAAAAUUUCUGCCACUAAUUUUUUCAUCCAGCCUAAUCACUGAUUCUGUCUCGGAACCCGCUUGUGAAGUCCCACGUCUGAUUUUCUUUCCUGUGGAGAUGUUCCCAUCUGUGUCCUUUGUCUCACAAAGUCCCCGCAUCCGUUUUUUCUUCAAUGAAAACGUUAUCUUCCGUGUGCAUUCUCGAGUUCAUUUUUUCUCUUUUUUUCCCUUUCGCUUUCUCACAUUUAGUUGUGACUUUUUUGUUUCUUCUUUUUUGUCUCCUGUUUUUUCUUAUACAUACAGAAAAAUAGAAAAUAAUGGAUAUAGUAUUUUAAGUCUUUGAAAUUCUAAUCCUUUCCUAAUAAAUAAAUAUUUCCAUCACUAAGGCUUGUUUGGAACGCAGUAAUUUUUCCAUGUUCCCGAACUCAUUCCUACGAAAUUUCUGCAUAAUUCCUGUGAAAUCCAUGCGUUCCAAAUUGGCCCUAAGUUGAUGGAAUUUUAAUUAUAUUAGGAAUAAAGCUUAUAAUAUUAGGAUCUGGACGAGGCGAUGGUCUAAUCAAUCUGUGGACUGAAAUCUAGUUUGUCAUCCAAUCCAUUCUAUAUCUACGUACCUAUUUAUAUUCAGAUCUAUCUAUCUAUCUAUCUAUCUAUCUAUCUAUCUAUCUCUCUCUCUCUCUCUCUCUCUCUCUCUAUAUAUAUAUAUAUAUAUAUAUAUAUAUAUAUAUAUAUAUAUAUAUAUAUAUAUAUAUAUAUAUAUAUAUAUAUAUAUAUAUAAGCUAUGCACAUAUAUCAGUACAAGCUUCCAAGCUGUCUGCAUAUACCAGUACUAUUCUCAACGAGGACAGACAUGUCAAAAUCGAGAGAGGUCUACUCAUCAACGAACAGACAAAAUUUUGACUUAAGACAUUAGAAUUAUAUAUUUGAUAUUAUUUCUAUGGAUCCACAAAACAAGUCGUUAAAUUACAUAUUCUCAACGAGGACAGACAUGUCAAAUUCUUGCUCUACCAGCACAUAAAUAGUGUG
rnacentral:lncRNA from 1 species